CAACAAAUGCCAAAGUUUGCAUUUGUGACCCUCCCAGACUUCACCCUAUGCGUCUCUUCUUUUGGCUGCUUCUUAUAUCCUCCAAAACUGUGAGACAAAUUCCUGUUGUCCAAGCCCACAGAAAAUCCUCAGGACACAUAUGGGCCCUGUGUUCCCCUUGACCCUGACACUCAGCCCCUGCUGGAUGACUCGCUGCUGCAACUGCUUCAGGAGAGGUGUUGAAAACAGAAGGGCUCAUCUGCUUUUGGACUGCCCACUUCCUAAUCUGAAAUUUCCAGCAGAGAUGAGGAACAAAUAUUUUAUAACCCAGUUUAUUUAGUUGACUAUGUUUGUUAGAUGUAACAUUGUUUUCUCUAUUGUUAGAGACUUCACCUUAAAUGGGUCUUAAUUCAGGAAUGUUCUUGCCUUAUCUUUGCAUUGGCUGGUUGAUCAUAACUGAACAUGGUAUAGAAGUUCAUUACAUAGAAUAGAUUCAUACAUGUAACCACAAGGUUUAGAUCCACUUUUGUAUAGACCAUGUACCAAAAGAUUCUUUCAGUUUACUUUACUUAGGGCUUGAUAUAAAAUAGGUAUUCAUAAAAUAUUUAUUGAAUGUCAAUCAGCAUAAUUUUUAAAAAUCUCAUGUGGCUGAAUCUCUAUGCUAUAAUUCAGACACUGCCUUCUUUUGGGGAGUGAAGCGUCUAGAAUUUGUAAGGUUAAGCUGCAUUUUUUCUGUAGAAUCCAGAUCUGUUGAUCCUUGCUUAUAAUAAUUGUGUAGCUUUGUGGCUCAAAUUUUAAUAUUAAGCAAACAACUCUCAAUGGUAGUAGAACAUUUGCCUUCCCAUGAGUGUUCUCAGUGAUCUUAUAAUAUACUAGAGAAAAAUGUUUUCCUUUACUCUUUCAAUUUAGAAAGACACACUACUGAAUUACUUUAGAAAUGCUUCUCACAAAAGGUGAGAUAUUACAAGAGGGGACCCUGGUUCUGGUGCAGUGAAAGUCUGCUUUCGAAGUAAGGGCCUGAUUAGGGCAGUGCUGCUUUAUGGCUACAAGCUUCUUGGAUCCUUAAUUUUACCAGUGGAAGCCACACUUUAGGCAUGCCCCAAAGCCCUAGGAGUGAGUAGUAUUCCUGUGCAUAGAUGGUACUGUUAGUUAAAUAAGAAACAAUGGUUUUGAAUAGAAGAAUAAGCAUCUCUACAUACCUUCGAUGAGAAGCGUAAUUGCCAGUAAUAUGUCCAGAGCCAUCACAACCGGGGGUGGGGCACCUACAAUUAAAAAAUGUAAAUUGGGUAAUUUACUCGAAAGAAAGAAAAUCCCCCACACAGUUAACUUCUUUAUUUAUCCAACAAGUAAACCCUCUUUCUUGCUUAGCCUCUCUACUUGAAAGAACCUAAAUUGAGCUGAAAGUUCCCUAGCCCAACUGCAACAGUGUUCAUUAAUCAGAACUAUCAGAUACAAACCUUUGACUACCUUCUUCCUUCCAAAACCAAUGACACUUUCUAGAAUGAUCACAAAUUUCAGUGACUGCUGGGAGUUCAACAGUCUCUGGGGCCUGUAGCCUCCCUGGUCAUAGGGAUUUAUUUUAAAAUCUCUGUUCCCUCCAAGUAUCCCAUGUUUCCCUUCCCUUAUGAUUACUUUCAAUUCAUUCAAGCCCAGUUAUAUCAAUCAAGGUUGAUAGUUUUUGCAAGCUAUUAGAACAAUCCAAAUAUGAAGCAUGAUUUAGACAUUAAAAAAAUAUAGACAGUGGUCGAUGAGAAGGGACUUUGUCUGAACUCUCAACACCAGCAUAAUAAAGGAAUUCCAUUCUAUUGGCUCUUAAGAAUUUUGGUCAACCUGGUUAGCCAUUGGUUCCAGUGUGUGCAGUAAACCCAUAUCCUAACUGCAGGAAUGAAGAUCAACAAACUUAAAUUCUCUCAGCUGGCACUGUGCAUUCAGACAGGUUUGAGUUUCCUUAGAAUCUUUGUUACUUUGAACUGACUUGAGUAGAAGAUAGGAGACCUUUCUUGAUUAACCAUAUCAAGUCGUCAAAAUACCCAGAAAAAUUUAUGUGCAUCUGCACUGCAUCUGUUUAAACACCUGUCUGUGGAAUUCCAUCCAGUUUCUUAAUUACUGCAUUGCCAUUGCUUUAAUGGGAGAGAUUUUUUGGAAAGAGCUUUAUGCUUAUUGUACUCCAUAUUAACUUUUUAAAUAUGCCAUCUCUUGAAUAAUCAGAUAAAUACUACAAAGACAUUUUCACUUUAAAAUAUUUUAAUUGCAUUUACACCCACUAUGAAAUAAAAGUUAAGGCCAAAAGUUAACAAAAAAUUCCUCUUUCUUUCUAUUAAAUUUGUAACCCUCAAAAAAAUAAGACCAAGUGAUUUAUUAGACAAUAUGACCAACUAGUAGUAAAACACAAAUCAUGCUCCAGCCACUCAUUCUGAUUAAAGGGACACCUGAAUUCCUGUCAAGAACAAAAAUCACAGAUUUUAAAUAUUUAAUACCUAUAUACUAUCUCUGAGAGAUUUCAAUUUACUUUCCACUCAGAAUAUCACCUGUGAUAUUGAAUAUUGAGACCAGGCCAGUAAAAUUACUUGCUUACAGAUUGACUAUCUCAAGAUAAGAUGAGAGUAUCAGUGAGUGGAAUGGAAAAUAGAGUGAAACUGGAUUAAUUUCAAGUGUAUGAAAGUCAUAUUUUGACACUUGCAUGUGUAAAUAAUCUUGUAUUUAGAAAUUUUCUCAUUUUCUUUUAGUCCUAAAGAAAGGGAACGUAAUUCUAGAUCUCAGGGUAUUGAAAUUGAUAUCUGUCAUGCUGUAUUAAAGGUUUAAGUUUAACUUAUGACUUCUGCCAUAAAAGAAUAAAAAAUAACUGAAUGAAGAGAUAGUAGAGAAAUAGUCAGUGUGCUCUAAUCCAUGCCCUUUUAGCGUAAGUGGAAUCACGAUUUUUAAAAUGGGAGUCUGAGGCAGAACAACAAUUAGGCAUUUUAAACAAUAACUAUCAUUGACAUGAUUCUUGUUAAAGUAACAGUUGUCUAUAUACGUUGGUGAAAAAAGUUUGAUCAUAAGACUGUAUUCAGUCAAAUGCUAAGUAAUUAUUUCCUAAAUAAUAACUUAUAUGACUGAAUUUAACUAGCUGCUUUUCCAAUGACACCUCAAGUGGAUAAUCCUCAAUCCCAGAAUGCUCUUAUGGGAAGAAAAUUUGAAAGCAAUAAAAAGCAGUCUAUCUUAAGAGAAACUAAACUUCAGGCAAGUUUCUGUUUUGAGAAUUUAUCAAGAAACAGAAAUGUUUUCUACCAGCCAAUGAUAUAUACUUGGCAUUACUUUUUCCUCAAAAAAAGAUCCUUAAACUCUUCUGAAUUUAAGUACUUAGUGCAAAUUCAUUUAAAAUUUAUUUAAUAUGAGUAUAAAUUUUUUCUUUUCUUUUCUUUGUCUUUUGGCAGGGGGAGAUUUCAUAUUCUGCUCUAACGUAAAGUGAGGUGUUAUAGUGAAAAUAAUACAAGUGGAAAUCAGGUUUUAAUACCUAUUUUUUAAAAAAGAAAGUUUUUCAAAGAAAUUGUAAUGUGUUUAAAUAUCAUUUCUCCAUCAUUUGAUAGGCAAAGAGAUAUUUAAAAUGCCCUUCAACACCACCAAAAAUUUUUAAAUAACUAUUGAUUUGGUUCAUUUUCAGCGCUUUAACUGUUUAGGGAAAGGAAAAAACAUUACUGGAAAGAAGGCUUUCUUUCUUAAAGAUUUGUUUUUAAUUUCAGGGUUCCAAAGCAGGUAGAUGGAGUUUGAAUCUCAGAUCUGCCACUGGUUAGCUUUGUGAAUUUGAAGAAAUUGUUUAAUCUUGUGAUGCUUUAGCUUCCACAUCUGGAGCUAGAACUACUGUCUCAUCUAUUGUAUGAGGAUGAAAAUGUUGUAAGAUAUCUAAAGUGUUUGCUCUGGUUUUCUCAUAGUAAGGGCCACUUCUCCUUUCUCCCUUCAUUUUGCUAAUGCCAGGUAGUUUGAAGCUUAAACAAAAUAGCCCAGUGCUCCAAUUAGCAUCCUUAAUUCUCACCGGUAGGUGCGGAGUUCUGAAUACAGGCUUAAAGGAACUUCCUGCAUUUCAUUGUUAUCUUGCCUUUGAAAUAAUUGACUACUUUGGGUUUUAUGAGAGCAGUAAUUCAGCUUUCUCAUCUUUAGGUGGUGCUUCAGGACCACAUAGAUAGCUGAAAAUUAUUUUUCAACUAUGCUUUCUUCUAAUAUCUCUAGGUAUUCAUUUUUAUGUUACUGUUGAAGAUUUUAAAGCUUUUCCAAACUCCUAGAUUUACAUACAAAUGUCCUAGCUUUAAGAAAUCUCAACACACAAAAAUACAAUUUUCUUAAGUCGAUGAAUGAGGAAGUGAUUUUUUCCUCUAACAAAAGGAGUCUUUGCUUCUCGAAGGGAGUCAGCUCCAGGAUCCUUGAAAAUGUGAGUGGUGUAAAAUUGAUUUACAGAAAUUCGAUUUGCAUCUACCGGUCUAAGAGCACAUCUUUUCCAUAAAGCGAGGCCCAUGUGGGAUAAUCAAAAUCCCCUGUGGAUAAAAUCAGACAGUGGCAUGUGCUGCACAGCUUGGGUUUUGAAAUGGCAGAAGAGACUGACUGAGUUUCCAUGGAAACUGCCCCCUCAGCUCCCUUUAAAGAAGGCACAGGCUCUUAGCACUGAAGCAAUCAGGCUGCUACAGGGGAAGAAUGAUGUUUUAAAAGAGCACCACUAACUUAAUGGCCCUCCUUGCUUUUCUAGUACUUAUCAUGAACAAUAGUACCAGGUCUAUAUUAAGUUCCUAUGGUUAAGGAUGUAAAGUAGCAUUAAAUAAAACACUUGCUAUAUAUAUAAUUUAUUUUUUCUCUUCAACUGCAAAGGUACUAUUGGGAAAACACUUGGAGAAAGCAAAUGAUGAAUAGAGAAUCUCAAAAUCUAUACUUGCUGCCUCAAGGAUCUAUUUAAGAUAUAAAUAUUUCUGGUCUCUGAUUUCCUUGCCUUAAUGUCAACUUUGUGGGUUGCCUUGGAAUUAAAGUAAUAUGAAGAGAAGAAAAAUUUUGGUGGUGCAUCUUACUGUAUGGCUGGAAAAAUUGGCCCUGUAUAAAUGGUUAAAAAUGGCCAUGGAAAAAUCAUAAUAAAACAUCUUAGUGUUUAUGUUUUGGGUUACAUGCAGAAUUCAGGCAAAAUCUAAAAAAAAAAAAAUGUCGAGAUCACUCACAAACUUUUGGUAUUAAGAUUUCAGUGAGGUAGCCCUUCUCAAGUAAGAACAACCUAUGUUUCUGUUGCUUUUUGUAGAUCUAAGACAUCAAGGAACUCUCUCAACCUCAACAUCAUAGAAGUCCCUUUGUGUUCGUUGCUUUCUUUUUCUUAUUCACCAUCAAAAACCCCUGCUAUUUGCAAUGUGAAUAAUGUUCUUUCCAACUGUGUAGACAUUUCAUUUUGAAUGGCCCGAAAUGUUUCCCCAAACCUAUGUAUCAAUCUUUAUCGAUUACACCUACAUUGAGGUCAUAAGAUAUUUACCCGAAAGUCUAAAAAAUAAUUUAGUAUCUAUGAAUUAAGCAUUUUCACACAUCACAAAGAUGUGAUGGCAGAUCAACUCAAUUCUCGACUUUGCCUCUGCUUUGUCCUUCAGCAGGACAUACAGACUAUUAAUGUUUUGUUUUCUUCUCCCCAUUAACAAAACCACAACAUUGAAACUGGGUAAUGGAAAUGGAAAUUAUUCACUUGACUGACUGAAUCUGUAUUAUUGCUUACGUAUCAGAACGUCUCAAUGUGCUUCCUCCGUGGUCUAUCAUCCCACCGCCUCUCUUUCAACAGGAGACAUUAUGAGGACUAAAUAAAUACUUUAU